ensembl:lncRNA
GGAGACUCCGAGCCCGGCGGGUCCCACGCUCCACGCGAGCAGAAUUCCCGCAGGUCUCCCGCCCGGGUGGCCAGAGGCGGUGGCGGGGAUGGCGGGCUCCGGGAGGCGCUCCGGCUCCGAGAAGCCGCUUAGCCCCGCGCUCCUCCCUCCGCAGUGCCGCCGCCGGCGGGCCGGGAUUCCCGCGGGUCUCGGCGGCCGCGAGCUGCAGGCGGCGCGGGUCCCCGGCUCGGUUGGUCACCUUGCCCGCCUCGCCUCCCACGGCUUCCAGCGGGCGCGGAGCUCUCCUCUGCGCGCCUCCCCGGCCCGUCUCGGUUUCCCUUCUUCGUCCUCUAGACCAUCCAGCGCAACUCCGUCGACCUCCGCGGCCCUGAGAGAGCAUCCGGCGCGGGCAGAGGCGUACCGGCCCGACCUCACGCCUCUCAUGGACUCUUCUCCAGGGUACCAUGGCCCAGAUUGGGACUAUCAGUACCAUAGGCAGCCCACCUGUCUCACUAAGGGAGUUCCUAGAAAACAGAAGGGACCCAGAAUCCUGACCUCGCCUUCUGUGGGACAGCAUGAGAUGUGGAGAUUGUGAGCUUGGAGAUCCAGCAUCUUUGUGAUCCUGGGAAAGUCCUUUGCCCUCUCUGGCCUGUUUCCUCCUGUGCAAAGGAAAGCAGUGGGCUUCACUGGUCCCCAGGAUUCCUUCACACUGAUUUCCCCACUGCGCCCCCCCACCUCGUCCCCCAACUCUGAGCCUUGCAGCAUCUUCUCAUCUUGAUCCUCUCCUGCCAUUUUUAGCCUCUGGGCAGAGACUCUGGCCAUGGUGCUGAAGAAGCCACAGCUUCU